rnacentral:misc_RNA from 1 species
GAUGAAGAACGCAUCGAACUGCGAUAAGUAAUGUGAAUUGCAGAAUUCAGUGAAUCAUCGAGUCUUUGAACGCACAUUGCGCCCCCUGGCAUUCCGGGGGCAUGCCUGUCCGAGCGUCAUUGCUGCCCUUCAAGCCCGGCUUGUGUGUUGGGUCGUCGUCCCCCCCGGGGGACGGGCCCGAAAGGCAGCGGCGGCACCGCGUCCGGUCCUCGAGCGUAUGGGGCUUUGUCACCCGCUCGAUUAGGGCCGGCCGGGCGCCAGCCGGCGUCUCCAACCUUCUAUUUUACCAGGUUGACCUCGGAUCAGGUAGGGAUACCCGCUGAACUUAAGCAUAUCAAUAAGCGGAGGA